rnacentral:rRNA from 1 species
GAUGAACGCUGGCGGCGUGCUUAACACAUGCAAGUCGAACGGUGAACACGGAGCUUGCUCUGUGGGAUCAGUGGCGAACGGGUGAGUAACACGUGAGCAACCUGCCCCUGACUCUGGGAUAAGCGCUGGAAACGGCGUCUAAUACUGGAUACGAACCACGAAGGCAUCUUCAGUGGUUGGAAAGAAUUUCGGUUGGGGAUGGGCUCGCGGCCUAUCAGCUUGUUGGUGAGGUAAUGGCUCACCAAGGCGUCGACGGGUAGCCGGCCUGGGAGGGGAACCGGCCACAGUGGGACUGGGACACGGACCAGACUCCUACGGGAGGCAGCAGUGGGGAAUAUUGCACAAUGGGCGAAAGCCUGAUGCAGCAACGCCGCGUGAGGGAUGACGGCCUUCGGGUUGUAAACCUCUUUUAGCAGGGAAGAAGCGAAAGUGACGGUACCUGCAGAAAAAGCGCCGGCUAACUACGUGCCAGCAGCCGCAGUAAUAC